UCCACCACAGAUGGACUCAAAGUCUGCGAAGGCUGGAAAGCCUAGGACGCGCUGUGCAUCGGGGGGCGGAAGCAGAAGGCGCACUGUGUCUCUCAGAGCACUACUCCUUGCCUCUGAAAAUUGGCUGGGAAACGUGUGAACUGCUGCAUUUCCUAAGGCCCGAGCCCUGGCGGGUCUGAGAGCAGCUGACCUCCUGAGGGGCCAGGACCGCCCUGCAGACUGGACCAGUACUGGAAGGAAGGGGCGGUGCUCUGGGGGGUGGUUUGUGGCCCAGGGGCCCUGCCCAGGCACAGCCCAAGGGUCCUCAAGAAGGACAGGUGUCUGUAUGGGGGGGGGGGGGUGUCCUGCCCCCGCCCACGCGUGCACAGCCCAAGGGUCCUCGUGAAGGGCCAGGUGAUUUGAGGGGUCCUGCCCACGACCCGGCCCAAGCGUGCACUGUCUUUGGGUGCUUGGGGAAGGACAGGUGUGUAGGGCGGGGUGAGGGUGAGUGAGGAGGGGGGGUCCUGCCCCCGCGUGCACAGCCCAAGGGUCCUCAGGAAGGGCCAGUGUCCCUGGGGGGUGGCGUCCCGUUCAUGGCCCCCGCCUGGGCUUGCGCAGCACAAGGACCCUCAGGAAGGACAGGUGUGGUUUCGGGGGAGCCUCGGCGCGUCCCCCCCCGCUCACGCAUGCGCAGCCGGCAGGUCGUUGGGCGGGUAGUCGCGGGCAGAGCCGGCCGCCACUGGGCGGUGCCGAGGCGGGGGCGGGGCACGGCGAGAACGGUCAGCCAAUGGGCACCCGGCCCCGGCUGGGCCGGCCAAUCGCGGCGUGGAGGUGGUCCCGCCCUGGGGGCGGGGCCGGGGCGCGCAAUUAGCUCGCUGAGGCUGGGCGGCGGGAGAGGCUCUCAGGCCCAGGGCAAGUUCUGGCACCUGCCAGGAACGGCGCAGUUAGAGGACUGCACGCAGGCCCCCAUUGGAACGAAGUGCUGGUGUCCCCUGGCACAGACAACCCAGGAAAAGGACCACAGGCAGCCCCCCAACUUUAGAGGGGUGUCCCCUGCGCUCUUGGGCACCCACAGUGCAGGUGAUGCACCGUGACCAGCACCCCAUCCCGCCCCUGUCCCCUGGCUACAGACAGUGCAAGUAUAGGACCGUGAGCAGCAACCCCCCCCCCCCCCCCCCCGCCCAAUUGAACAGGGUGCCCGGGGACAGUGGUAAGGGCUGUCAGGAUUGUGCAGGAGGGGCCUCCAGGUGAGGGCCUGGAGGCCCGAGUCACCCAGACCCCGCUUAAGCCACGUGCCGUUGAUGCGUUGAAGUGUUUGGAACAAUAAUUUCUCCUUUCUUAUAAAGACGAAGUUAUUGAUCUGCUUUAGGAUGAAGAUAAUUACUACCUAAAAACGUACGUGUUUCCCCUUCCCCCGGAGUAUCACUGCUCCAGAAACUGAACUCUUUAUCGUGUAGAUUAGUUCUGAGUUUCUGAGAUUUUGUCCUACUCUUUGUGUACCGCAGAAAGUUAGCUGUCUUCUGGCCUGGAAGCCUGAAGUCCUGUGCAGAGCUCCUGCGCAGGCGGAGUGUGCUGCCCCCUGGCCCUCAGGACCAGACUCACUGUGUGAUCCUGUAUCACAGGAGCAGUAGAAGACCAACGCGGGCGUGACGAGUGGGGCUAAGCCUGUGCACGUGGCAGAGAUUAAAACCAUAACAGGACCACAUCAUAAGUAGCUCUACAGUCCUAGAAUCAGUGGAUACAUUCCUCAAAAAAAAAAAAAAAAAAAAUUCUAACUUGCCAAUACCGACUGAAGGAAA